rnacentral:rRNA from 1 species
ACGGAAGGCAGCAGUGAGGAAUAUUGGUCAAUGGGCGGAAGCCUGAACCAGCCAAGUCGCGUGAAGGAUGAAGGUAUUAUGUAUUGUAAACUUCUUUAGCAGCAGAGUAAUAAGGCCCUCGUGAGGGCUGAUGCAAGUAUGCUGAAAAUAAGGAUCGGCUAACUCCGUGCCAGCAGCCGCGGUAAUACGGAGGAUCCGAGCGUUAUCCGGAUUUAUUGGGUUUAAAGGGAGCGUAGGCGGAAGGUCAAGUCAGCUGUGAAAUGUAGUCGCUCAACGUCUGCACUGCAGUUGAAACUGGCCUCCUUGAGUGCGUAAGAGGCGGGCGGAAUUCGUCGUGUAGCGGUGAAAUGCUUAGAUAUGACGAAGAACUCCGAUUGCGAAGGCAGCUCGCUGGGCCGCAACUGACGCUGAAGCUCGAAGGUGCGGGUAUCAAACAGGAUUAGAUACCCUGGUA